rnacentral:lncRNA from 1 species
CCCCAUGUGGCUGACAGCACAGGUAACCUUAUACCCAUUUUACAGAUGAGGAAGCCAACCCAGACAAAUUAACGCAAUGGUCCAUGUCUGGUACAUUUUCAAGAUCAGGAUCCUGGGGAGGGGUGGCCUCCUGAAAUAGGGGGAUAUUAUGACCUUCACCUGCCCUCCCUGAAACCCCAGAUGACUGGUUGAGGCUGAACUGUCUGGGGAACUUCCUCUGACCUAAAUCCUGUCGGCUAUACCCAAACACCAGCCAGAAGAUACAAACAGCCACACCCUCACCUUUUUUGCCCCAACUUGUGCUUCAUGCCAGGGGAUUUCUCUUUCAGGAACUACAUUUAAAAAGGGGGGAAUUAUAUGAUAAUUGGACACCUACUAUGUGGCAGACAUUACACAAGGCAUGCUUGUGUGGGUUAUUUUAUCUCAUGUGAGCCAUGUUAUGUGGACAGGGAAAAGAGGAGGAUGAUGGAGGAGGAGGAAAGAAUCGACUUGUUCCAACUGCUCUCCAUAAUAAAACUUCAUUCAAGUGCAUAGAA